AGUGAACGCUGGCGGUAGGCCUAACACAUGCAAGUCGAACGGCAGCACAGUAAGAGCUUGCUCUUACGGGUGGCGAGUGGCGGACGGGUGAGGAAUACAUCGGAAUCUACUUUUUCGUGGGGGAUAACGUAGGGAAACUUACGCUAAUACCGCAUACGACCUACGGGUGAAAGCAGGGGAUCUUCGGACCUUGCGCGAUUGAAUGAGCCGAUGUCGGAUUAGCUAGUUGGCGGGGUAAAGGCCCACCAAGGCGACGAUCCGUAGCUGGUCUGAGAGGAUGAUCAGCUACACUGGAACUGAGAUACGGUCCAGACUCCUACGGGAGGCAGCAGUGGGGAAUAUUGGACAAUGGGGGCAAGCCUGAUCCAGCCAUACCGCGUGGGUGAAGAAGGCCUUCGGGUUGUAAAGCCCUUUUGUUGGGAAAGAAAAGCAGCAGGUUAAUACCCCGCUGUUCUGACGGUACCCAAAGAAUAAGCACCGGCUAACUUCGUG
rnacentral:rRNA from 1 species